rnacentral:rRNA from 1 species
AUUGAACGCUGGCGGCAUGCCUUACACAUGCAAGUCGAACGGCAGCGCGGGAGCAAUCCUGGCGGCGAGUGGCGAACGGGUGAGUAGUGCAUCGGAACGUGCCCAGUUGUGGGGGAUAGCCCGGCGAAAGCCGGAUUAAUACCGCAUGAGACCUGAGGGUGAAAGCGGGGGAUCGAAAGACCUCGCGCGACUGGAGCGGCCGAUGUCAGAUUAGGUAGUUGGUGGGGUAAGGGCCUACCAAGCCUGCGAUCUGUAGCUGGUCUGAGAGGACGACCAGCCACACUGGGACUGAGGCACGGCCCAGACUCCUACGGGGGGCAGCAGUGGGGAAUUUUGGACAAUGGGCGCAAGCCUGGUCCAGCCAUGCCGCGUGCGGGAAGAAGGCCUUCGGGUUGUAAACCGCUUUUGUCGGGGAAGAAACGGCCUGGGCUAGUACCUUGGGCUAAUGACGGUACCCGAAGAAUAAGCACCGGCUAACUACGUGCCAGCCGCCGCCGUAA